CUGCAGCUUAUUAAGCCGACCAGUCUCGCUGCAGUGCGGUUCUGGUGUGCAAUGGCUGCGGACAGUGACUCUGUGGUUGUGUAUGUGGCCAGCUCGGGAGGUGCUGGCUGCUUUAAGGGACCGCCGAGACAAAA
ensembl:snoRNA SNORA70 Small nucleolar RNA SNORA70